AUCCUUUUGCGGCUCACAGGCACGCUGAUGGGGUGUUCACGCCCUGUGUGACAUGUCUCCUUCAAACCUUAUUAUGAUGUCAGCACAUUGCCUGUCUGACU